AUUGAACGCUGGCGGCAGGCCUAACACAUGCAAGUCGAGCGGAGCGGCAGCCGGGUGCGUAAUGCCUGGGCGUCUGCCUGGUAGUGGGGGAUAACGGCCGGAAACGGGCGCUAAUGCCGCAUACUAUCAGAUGAGCCUAGGUCGGAUUAGCUAGGUGGGGGGGUAAUGGCCUACCAAGGCGACGAUCCGUAACGGGUCUGAGAGGAUGAUCAGUCACACUGGGACUGAGACACGGUCCAGACUCCUACGGGAGGCAGCAGUGGGGAAUAUUGGACAAUGGGCGAAAGCCUGAUCCAGCCAUGCCGCGUGUGUGAAGAAGGUCUUCGGAUUGUAAAGCACUUUAAGUUGGGAGGCGUUACCUACAGAAUAAGCACCGGCUAACUUCGUGCCAGCAGCCGCGGUAAUUC
rnacentral:rRNA from 1 species